rnacentral:rRNA from 1 species
GAUGAACGCUGGCGGCGUGCCUAAUACAUGCCAGUCGAGCGAACAGACGAGGAGCUUGCUCCUCUGACGUUAGCGGCGGACGGGUGAGUAACACGUGGAUAACCUACCUAUAAGACUGGGAUAACUUCGGGAAACCGGAGCUAAUACCGGAUAAUAUAUUGAACCGCAUGGUUCAAUAGUGAAAGACGGUUUUGCUGUCACUUAUAGAUGGAUCCGCGCCGCAUUAGCUAGUUGGUAAGGUAACGGCUUACCAAGGCAACGAUGCGUAGCCGACCGGAGAGGGUGAUCGGCCACACUGGAACUGAGACACGGUCCAGACUCCUACGGGAGGCAGCAGUAGGGAAUCUUCCGCAAUGGGCGAAAGCUUGACGGAGCAACGCCGCGUGAGUGAUGAAGGUCUUCGGAUCGUAAAACUCUGUUAUUAGGGAAGAACAAAUGUGUAAGUAACUAUGCACGUCUUGACGGUACCUAAUCAGAAAGCCACGGCUAACUACGUG